rnacentral:rRNA from 1 species
UACAGGGGGUGCAAACGUUGCUCGGAAUCAUUGGGCGUAAAGCGCACGUAGGCGGUUCGUUAUGUCGGAUGUGAAAGCCCUUGGCUUAACCGAGGAAGUGCAUCCGAAACUGGCGAGCUAGAGUACGAAAGAGGAUCGCGGAAUUCCAGGUGUAGCGGUGAAAUGCGUAGAUAUCUGGAGGAACACCGGUGGCGAAGGCGGCGUUCUGGACUGCAACUGACACUGAGGAACGAAAGCCAGGGGAGCAAACGGG